rnacentral:rRNA from 1 species
GUGUCAGCCGCCGCGGUAAUACGUAGGGUGCGAGCGUUAAUCGGAAUUACUGGGCGUAAGGCGUGCGCAGGCUGUUUUGUAAGUCAGAUGUGAAAUCCCUGAGCUCAACUUAGGAACUGCGUUUGAAACUACAAGACUAGAAUAUGUCAGAGGGGGGUAGAAUUCCACGUGUAGCAGUGAAAUGCGUAGAGAUGUGGAGGAAUACCAAUGGCGAAGGCAGCCCCCUGGGAUAAUAUUGACGCUCAUGCACGAAAGCGUGGGGAGCAAACAGGAUUAGAUACCCUAGUAGUCC